rnacentral:lncRNA from 1 species
UAAGGUGUGUUUCUUUGCUUUGCACGAAGAGAUAGAGAGAGAGAUCGGAGGGAAAUUCUCACCUCAUCAUCUCAGCACGAGGUUUUUAUUGGGUGGUUUGUAUCAAAUCUUCUCAGCUUUCAUCACCGACCCUAAAAACUUGGGUUCGUCAUCAGCAAGGUAAUUAGGUGAGCGGGUUCUGGAUUUUGACCGACGAUCUACCCAUAAAAGGUAAUAAUCAAUCAUCUGCUUUUCCCUUUUAAUCUGUUCUAUUGUUCUAUCUUUGAUUCUUUGAUGCUUCGACUGGUCUGA